UACGGGAGGCAGCAGUAGGGAAUAUUGGUCAAUGGGCGAGAGCCUGAACCAGCCAUGCCGCGUGCAGGAAGACGGCCUUCGGGGUUGUAAACUGCUUUUAUAUGGGAAGAAAACGGCCUUGCGAGGCAGAUUGACGGUACCAUAUGAAUAAGCACCGGCUAACUCCGUGCCAGCAGCCGCGGUAAU
rnacentral:rRNA from 1 species